rnacentral:rRNA from 1 species
UAAUACAUUACAACUUUCAGCGGUGGAUGUCUAGGUUCCCACAACGAUGAAGAACGCAGCGAAAUGCGAUACGUAAUGCGAAUUGCAAGACCUCGUGAAUCAUCAAGAUUUUGAACGCACAUUGCGCUUUCGGGUAUUCCCGGUAGCAUGCUUGUCUGAGUGUCUGCGGAU